CCCGCUGCAGCUUCCCUUAGUGUGGCGCCCCUUUCCUCGGCGUUGAUGCACGGGUGCCAUCCCUCCUGACUGCCACCGGUCUCCUUGUUUCCCUUGGUGAGCACGUCCUCUAGCAGAGCAUCUUCGAUUUCUAUAGUCCGCCCUCAAUUCCUCUGCUCGUUCCUGCAGGCCAUCCCACCAUCUCCUUGGAGCCCAGCAAGUGCUCGACGAAAUGCCCCACCACGACAGCAGCACAAGACAUAUCCCUGCCCAUGCCCAAGCUGCAACCUGGGCACCCACCAAGUGUUUAGGAUUAUGCUCCAAAGCUUGGUGAGAUGACAACCAUGACCUUGGACUGAAUCGCGAGCCCGAGCUCGAUGCUGAUCGUCAUGGCGAUGCCCCUUCACGGCGCCAACUCGUUUCGGCAUCAACUCUCUUCCUGCCACAGCCCUCGACGUUGAACUACCGGAGAAGCCCCAGUACCAGUACCAGGAGCAGCCGUCUUCGGAGC